GAUGAACGCUGGCGGCGUGCCUAAUACAUGCAAGUCGAGCGAACAGAUGAGGAGCUUGCUCCUCUGACGUUAGCGGCGGACGGGUGAGUAACACGUGGAUAACCUACCUAUAAGACUGGGAUAACUUCGGGAAACCGGAGCUAAUACCGGAUAAUAUAUUGAACCGCAUGGUUCAAUAGUGAAAGACGGUUUUGCUGUCACUUAUAGAUGGAUCCGCGCCGCAUUAGCUAGUUGGUAAGGUAACGGCUUACCAAGGCAACGAUGCGUAGCCGACCUGAGAGGGGGAUCGGCCACUCUGGAACUGAGACACGGUACAGACUCCGACGGGAGGCAGCAGUAGGGAAGCGUCCGCAAUGGGCGAAAGCCUGACGGAGCAACGCCGCGUGAGUGAUGAAGGGCUUCGGAUCGUAAAACGCUGUUAUUAGGGAAGAACAAAUGUGUAAGUAACGAUGCACGUCUUGACGGUACCUAAUCAGAAAGCCACGGCUAACUACGU
rnacentral:rRNA from 1 species